UUACAGGUUAAAAUUGGCAUUUUAUACUCCUUAUUAAAAGCACUGAUUACAGUUAUAUUUUCAAAAUAGAUAUUUUACAAAUAUUAAUGAUUGAUACUAGUAAUGCCCUCUCUGUAAUAGCCUCCCAAGUAACCCAUAGUUCUGUUCUCUAGCCAUUUCAAAUUACAGUAUUCUUUUUUUAAGGACACAUUUAGUUUUGUACAUUUCAGCUUCAUAUUGUACUGGUUGUUAAUGAAAUUUUAUUUAUACUCUUAUAAAACCCGGUUCUGGACUAAAGAAAUAUUUUAGAAUUUAAAUUAUAUCCCAUAUUGAUUAUUUAAUUAUUUUAUAACGAAUAAUGAUUAAUUGGGCAUGUACAAUUAUUGUGUAUGUUGUACUGUUCAUAGUACAAUAUCUGAUUUUGGCUUGACCAUACCAGAUAUGCUGGUUGAUUUUACUCGGACUGACCUAUCUAAUUUUUGUCUCUUUUUAUCUAAUGUAAAUAUUAGUUUUCUUGGAAGAUAGCAAGAAGUUGCUGGUCUAGGCAAAAUCGAAAUUGAUUGUCAUAGUGACACAUAUUUUCAUUGCCAACUUCCUUGGGCCACAAAUUUUGUUAUUUAUUUUUUAUAAAAGGUUUUAUGGUACUUAUAAAAAAAGUUAAGUUAUUUUGUUAUAUAUUUCGAUUGGCAAUACACUUUGUGCGUGAUUGCUUAAAUACGGGUUUGACCUCUGCGGUCGUUCCUUUUCCCAGACCGCCGUCAUGAAGUGAAGAGUGCUUUAGUUCUUUUUGAAAUUCGCGUGAAUUUUACCCAUAUGGGGAUAUAAUUGACUAAAUGUGGUGAGAGUAAAUCAACUUUUUGGGCGUAAUGCUAUAAUUUGUUGUUUUGUUGAAUUUACUGGCCUUUAUGGCGAUUUAAAACCUAAUAAUUUUUCACGUGCCCUCGAACAUCGGCAAAAUAGCGGUUCUGAUUGGCAUUGGCAGGGGACAAUUUAAUUAGCAAAGCUACAUAACAUGGAUUUUGGACGGAUUUUUUUUGUACGGACCUGAUUUUUUUCAUGCCACAUGGUGCUUUCGUUUUGGGGUUAUGUACUCUACUGGCUCUAAUCUAGAAGGAGAUUUUAAGCAACUGUGAGCUAACGUCUAACCUAGACCACUACCAGAGCUUGUGAAGUGGAAGAGGUGAAGCUUGGAAGCCUGCAGUUUUCCUUGACUGGGAAUUGGAUGUCUGGGAGAGUCUCGAAUAUGAAGUAGUCUGCUGUGUAUGGAGCUAAGUGACAGAACAUAACAUUUUUUUUAUUCACUUGUUUUAUUUUAUUUUUAUUAUCACGACUUUUAUCUUUUGAGUUGAGAUACAUACAUAAGCUUAUUUAAAAUUUUAUUGACAUUAUUUAAUCGAUGCUAUUUUAUUAUUGAAUAUUACUGAUAUGAGUACAUAUAUAUGUGACAAGUGACUCCUGUGAGGUAAGACGCAGCCGGCUUCGUAGUACUACGAGUAUAUACUUGGGUUAUAUUAUUUAUUUUCAGACUACUCCUAAGAUGUCAAAUUUUCUCAGAUUAGCUAGUAAAUAUUAGAGUAAACUAAUAAAAGGGUAAUUUUAAGUGGGGAAGCUUCAACAGUUAGGGUUGUUAUUUUUUUUUUUGCUUAGGUCAAUGUCCGUGGCGGGAUAUACUGGGCUAUGUAAAUUAUUAGUUUCAUUGAAUUGAAGCUUCAUUCCCCAAAGUUUGGGUGUAACAUAAUUUAUUUUACUUUGACAACCACACUUUGAUUGUGUAUUUUUUGUGUGAUGUUGUGGUUCCUUAUUACCAACUUAAAUAAUUAUUCCUCUUAACGAUAAAUAACAUAACAUAAUUCUCUGUGAUAAUCAAGACUUAAAUAAAUUGUUAUUUUCUGUUGUUAAUUUGUUUUUCACUUGAGUUGAGUAGGUUGGAAUAUCAUAGGUAAUUUGGAAACAAUAGUGUAUACUGAUUUGACUUUGAUUUUGUUUUCCAAGUUUCGUUUUGAACUUGCCUAAAUAAAUUUUGAUAAACAUUGGGCGUCCUUUGGGAUUAUAUAAAAUCCAAAACUUGGUGGCGCCAUACUGAUUUUGACAUUUAGUUGGGUAACUCUUGGGUAGUUACUACCUAAGAAAUUUUGGUUCAUUUGGUUGAGAAAGAAGCUAGAACCCACAUCGGCUUGAGCUAGCAGCAUUGUGAAGGAUUCCUUCUCUGGGCGUUUCAGGUAAGAGGGGUUAAGUUCCUCCGGGCAUCAAACAACUUUUGGAGACCCUCUUAAGGCCAUAAACCUUUCACUAUUUUUAGUACUUCUUUUCUUUUGAUUAACUUGGCAUUCAUCGCUUCACCACCAUCAUUCCAUUUUAUUGCACUUUAGAAAAAAAAAAAAUAUAACAAAAUAAUAUUCUAAAUGAGUCGCAACAAGAAUCAGAGGUGGUUAAUAUUGAUGACACACAGUUGUUUUGUAGGAUAUUGUUGCGAGAAAACGAGAUACUGGAUAUCAAAAUAUUUUCAAAGGGGUAGUAAUGGAUCAGGACUAUGUUAAAUAGCAUGAUAAUUCUAUGGAUGGUAAUAUUAUUUCACAGAGAAUGCAUGAAGUAAAUUAUAUGUUCUUUAUUAAAUAAAUACAUAAAGAACCCAAUGUAGAAUUAGCCAAAAAUGUGCAACUGACGAAAUGGUGCCGAUAACAAAAAAAAAAAUCAAGAUGGUUGCGAAGGAUUCGUCAGUGGUGGAGCAUAUAUCUGUGGAAGUUCCAAUAUUUUUAGGGAACUGCUUGACCAAGAUAGAUACUAAGAAACAUUCUGGAUAUACAAACUGUGUGAACAUUUUCAAAAUGGUAUACCAGAUAGGUACAGAAUAUGGUUGUCUUAAUCGAUGGUCUAGUUUCUGUGGUAUCGGUGUCCCUGAAUUUAUUAACGAAAUAUUAUUUAACUAUGUCAGCUUUUGCUAACGAUUUAUUAUCAACAGGUUAUAUCUUUUCCUUCCCUGAAAUUCUCUCCAUUGUUCACGAGUGCCCUAAGGGUAAAAAGUUAGAUCUCUUGGAGAAAAUGGAAAUCACCAAAGCCAAAAAGAGUCCAAUUGUGACAUGCGUUAAUGAUGUUUUCACCUUUGAGCCAAGACUUAUCUUUAAUAAUCUUAUCUAACCUCCUGUUUAUGCUCACGAUACGCAUACAUGCCUUUGACGCUUACAUUUAUAAGCAGAACUGGCCGAGUGGUUAACGGUCUGGUGUUUCACCGAGAUUAACUUUAGAGCGUGGGUUCAAAUAUUACAUUAGUCACAUUUUUCCUCUUUAUAUUUUUUUGUUAAAUUUUUGUGCCAUGUUAUUGUUUUUUAUUAUAAAAUAUGUGGGUAUUCUUUUAAAUUUUAUUUCUCAGUACUUAGCAGGUCAUCUAGCUAUAAGGUAAUUUUAAAUAAUUGUAAAAUUUGAUUUUGUUUUAGUGUAAGGUUUUAUUGUAAUUACAUGUGUUCUCCUAUUUAUUGUAAGUCUAAAGAUGCUUUAUUAGCGAAACAUGUAACUUGAGUGACGCAUAAAAAGAUGUUUUGAGACUGAGACUUGGAGUUUUUUAUUUUUUCUUUAGUUACGUAGGUCUCUUGGAGAUAAUGCACGAGUUCUUUCAAUUCUGUGUGGAUGACUAGUCAUACUCAACUCCUGUAUCCAUAUCACAUCCAAAGCGUACAAGCUUUUGCUCCGGAAGACUAUCCCACUCGAAUCAUCUUCUAUUGCUGGUUAGUAAGAAAACUCCUACAAGAAUCCCUUUUUUUGACAAAUGUUUUAUGCAUGGAUGAAGCUGGUCAUACAAAAAAUGGAAUUUUCACUUACCAUAAUACACACUGGUUCGAUUAAAACAUUCAUGCUUUUGUGGAAAGUCGACAUCAAAUUCGAUUCUUAGUUAACGUUUGGACAGGAAUUGUUGACGGUAGACUAAGUGGACUUUUUUUUUAUUUCUUUCCAAUUUUCAUUCUCUGAGGUUAAUUUUACACCUUUCGAAAAGUUACUUAUUUCUUAAAAUAAUAAACAUUUGACUAAAUGAUCAAAGUUACCUUAAUCUUUUCCAAAAAUGUUAGAGGAAUUUCCCAUAGCACAAAGGGAGAUCAUAUAUUUGAUAAAUUAUGCACGAGCUCAUUUUCCGCGGUGAGGAAUCAUUUGAAGUUUUUGACAGGUUGAAUCCACUAGAUUUCCUCUUCUGUGGCCACCUAAAAACUUUGGUUUACUCAGUGCCGAUUAAAGCCGGCUGCACAAUAUAAUAUAUAUUAUAGUUUAUAUAUUACAGAAAUAUCGGUUUUUAUUAGUAAGCAUACACCGCCACGUAUUGACUCUAUAAUAUACAGGGUGUUCAUUUGAAAACUUCUACCACGGAUUUAUCGAAAACCACUGUUUAAAAAAAACGCCGAAAUACGUCAAAAGGUUUGUCAAGGGAGACAACUUUCUAACCUAAAAUUACUUCACCCCCUUUCACCCAUUGCCCCCCAGGGUCAUUUCCUUUUUUAAUAUUACUAUUACUAUUUUUUUAAAUCGGUCGAUUCGUUUUCGAGAAAAUUAGAAAAAUCUUUGUUUAUCUUAAUUUGGUUAGAUAGAAAACAAAAAUAUGAAAAUAUCAGUUUUUAAUUCAAUAAGUGUUCAAAAUGUUGCCCGUUUUUGGCCAAACAAUGAUAUAGGAAUGUUCAAAUUCCUGACAAACAUUUUCAAUAAUAUGUUGUGGAAUAUCAUGGCAGCUGUCGAUGAUGCUUUGACGAAGUUCAUCCAAACUUUCAGGUUGGGGAGUAAACACAAUAGAUUUCAAAUGACCCCAUAGAAAAAAGUCUAAUGGCGUUAUAUCAGGAGAUCUAGCAGGCCAUUCUAUAGGCCCCUUUCGCCCUAUCCAUUUAUCUGGAAACUCGUCGUCUAGCCAUUGCCAAACGAAAAGAAUAUAGUGAGGAGGAGCGCAGUCUUGCUGGAAAUAUAUUUCAGCCUCAUCAAGUAUAGGGUUUCCAUUAUUAUCGAUUUGGUUUUCAAUAGAUUUAGAUAGAUAAGCGGUUUGAUGGUAUUUUCCAACAUAUUCCAAUAAAUGUCUCCAUUUAAAUUUCCGUUAAGAAAUAAUGGCCCAAUCACUUUAUUUCCUAAAAUGCCUGCCCAUACAUUAAUUUUUUGAGGGUACUGGGUACCCUUCUACAAAUGCAUGAGGAUUUUCAUUGCUCCAAUAUCUACAGUUAUGCUUAUUAACAAAUCCAAUAAGAUAAAAUGUGCAUUUAUCGCUGAAGCAGAUAUUCUUUACAUGAAUAGUAUUAUCAUUAAUCGCUUCAGUCAUUUUUUCACAAAACUCAACUCGCCUAUCGAAAUCGUCUUCGGUAAACUCUUGCAAUAUUUUCAUUUUGAAUGGAUGAAAUUUAUGAAGUUUGGUAACUGUGUGAACAGAGCCUAAUAAAAUACCAGUGGCAGCAACAAUUUUGCGUAAGUAUUAGGAUUUGUUCCAAAAUGACCCAAAACUUCAAGUUGAGCGGCUUCAUCCAAAAUUUGCCGAUGAUCACGUUUUUUAUUUGCAACAGAUCCAGUUUCAGUAAACCUAGUAACAAGGUCCAAAACAUACCUAUGCGAAGUUAUCUUCUCCGGAUGUCUGGCGUUAAACGUGACGGCAGUUUGCCGAGCACAUUGAUUUUGGGCACCAUAAAUUAGAAUAAUUUCCACUCUUUCGGCUAGUGUGUAAACUAUUUUGGAAGUAAAAUCUUCAAUUCAACGAAUAAAUUUUCACUAUUCCAAGACUGUCACAAAUGUAACUGACGGCAAAAUAAAUUCUGUAUUUUCCUUAGCAACUAUAAAUAACUAAGGUAGGUAUAACAAUAAAUAAACUGUAUUUACGCCCAGGAUAUCUGUAUUGAUAAAAAGAAUGCGGAAAAAAUUCAGGUUGUUAUUUAGUAUUUUCCACGUCUAAUUUUCGGAAUUGCUGUUUAUGUUGGUAGUUUCCGUUUUAAAUUAUAAACUAAUUUUGACGUAUUUCGACGUUUUUUUUAAACAGUGGUUUUCGAUAAGUCCGUGGCGGGAAGUUUUCAAAUGAACACCCUGUAUAUGUUAAAAGAAAAAGAUCGUUCGUAAAAAGAUGUGUACAGCAGCGGAGAGAUUAAUCCUGUGCCUUAAAUUUAAGGAAUAUAUAAUAAUCCUAUGCCUUAAAUUUAAGGAAUGAACAUCCGUUCGAAAUCGAAUUUUGUUUGUCAAAUACGAGGCACAACUAGAACGAAUUACCGAAUAAAAUAAACUUGCAGCAUGUAACUUCUUUUGACAUUCCAUAGAGAGCCAUUUACUUUCACACAGUUUGUAGCUUACCGGUUCGCGGCGACGAAUAUCAUAUAUAAAUCGUAAGCAAGAUUUAUGAACCCGUUGUAUUCUGUAUUUAUCUAUUGGAUCCAAGCAUGGCCUAUACGCUACGUCAUCAGAAUUAAAAUAAGUUUAUUUUUUGUGAUAUUGAAAGUAAGUGCCUAGAUGGAAACAACCUUUUUAAAUUUGCAUAGCCUAAUUGAAUACAUUUAAUUACAUGCUGUUUGUAUCGAAGGUUGGUGUCAAUAUAGAGCCCCAAAUUAUUAGAACAAUCGGAAUGCGGAAGUUGUUCCGCAGAAGUCAUUAAAAUCAGAUCUUUUUUAAGUUUUAAGCUCUCCAAUCAUCACCAAAAAUUAAAAAGUUUGAUUUUGAUGCAUUUAUUACAAAAUUGUGUUUAAUAGAAAUACUAAUCAAUCGUUCCAGAUCGUUAUUAAUUUUGCUGGUAGCACUUUUUGCUCAGGAAAAAUUGAAAAAUAUAGUUGUGUAUCAUCUGCAUACAAAUGAGCUUUGCAAUGUUUUAGGCAACUAGUAAGGUUACAAGUAUAAAUGCAAAACAAAAUUGGCCCCAGUAUAGACCCUUGUGGUACCUUCGGAUGAUACACCUUUGCUGGUUUCAGCAAACUGUUUCCGGUUUGUUAAAUAAUUUUUAAUCAGAGAAAGUGCAUUGUAGUUAAACCCCACAUAGCUUAAAAUCACAUAAAGCAGUUUGUGAUUGAUUCGGUCAAAUGCCUUGCUAUAGUCUAACAGCACUAGUGCAGUAGAUUUUCCAUGAUUAGGAGCUUAAAUUAUAUCAUCUGUAAUUUUCAGAAGUGCUGUUGUACAGCCAAACCUCGAUCUAAACCCUGACUGAUAUUCUGGUAAGAUUUGGUUUGAAUUAAGAUACUCCCUUAUCUGAGCAUUCAUUAUCUUCUCCAUAACCUUGUAUAAAACUGGCAAUAUACUUAUGGGCCUUCCAAACAUCAGAAUUUUUUUUUUCUAAAAUACACAAAUUGACAAUAUGAACUAUGUACGGCAAAAUCGUAUCCACACACAAUAGAAACAUAUUAAGAUUUAUUCGAUCCGCUCCGGUAGCAAGCUACUUAAUUUCAAACAAAUACUAAUCGCACAACAUCGGUGGAUACGACACGAAAAUUAAAUUUGGUUGUUGCCAUCUCAAGUUUUUAAUUGUUUCUAUAAAACUCUAAAAGUUCUACAUCUAUUGGGUUAUUAUGUACUGAUGUUUAAAUAAAAUGAUUAUUUAUAUUAUUAGGAAUAUUUAAAUGCUCAGGUAUUUGGCUGGCUAUAUUGUUAGAAUAAAUGUAAAAAGUUUUUUAAGCUUUUGCCAAAAAAGUUUUUUGUUAUUAAAACUAGAAGCUAUUGCAUGAUCAAAAUACUAUCUCUUCUCUUGACGAAUUGCAAUAUUAGUUUUAUUUUUAAUUUGUUUGUAGGAUUUCCAGUUUGCAUCAGUUUUUUUUUGGUAUUUUUUAUAUGCCGUGUCUUUUAAGGUUAUAAUUUUUUUAAUACUAAAAGUUAAUCAUGGUGGUUUCUGUUUUUUUAAAUUUAAAUUGAACCACAGGCGCCAAAACAUCAAAUAUAUUAAUUAAAAAAAUAUUAAGAACCGCAACCUUUUCAUUAACAGUUUGUACAUAAAUUAUAUUAUGAAAGGGCUUAAGAUGUCAGAAAAUGAUUAGAAAUGCCAACAUCUUUAACACCAGAUUCAAAACUCGACUCUCCAUCUGGGAUUAAAAUUAUAUCUUAAAGCACCAAUAUCGUGUCCGUAACUCUGAUAGGUUCUAUUAUAACCUGUCGCAAAUUUAAAGACACAACAUAUUCAAAGAAACUAGAAAUGUUCUGAUCACCCAAAUUCAACAGAGUUAAAUUAAUAUCACCCCCACAGAUUAUAUCCACUGGCUGAAAAUCAGCCAACCUCUUUUCAAAAUUCUCCAAAAACUCCUCCACUCUGCCCUUCGGAGGUCUAUAAAUAACACCAACAAUAUAAGUCCUAUUCACAUAUUUCAACUCGAUCCAUAAUUCCUCACAUGUUUCAUUUGAUGUGAUAUCGACCUUCAAACUUUGUGAGUUGUUCUUAACAUAAAGAGCUAAUCCCCCACCCCUGCUUGACCGAUCAUUCCUAAAGAUUUGAUAGCCAGGUACAUAUAUUAUUAAGUUUGAGAUAUUGGGUUUUAACCAUGUUUCAGAUAUUCCGACAACAUCAUAUUCACCCUGAACAAUAGCAUCCCUAAAUUCAGUAAAAUGAGGCAAAAGCGACCUUGCAUUCAAGAAGCACAUUCGAAGACUCUCCAUAUCUCAAAAACUAUACAUCUUAAAUGAAUCAUAAAUGAAUUAAGCAUACAUAUAUAACCACUAAAAUAAACUAUUAAGCCAACAGCCAAAAUCUAAAUAUACACUUCAAAAAAAUUAAAAAUUAAAAAAAAAAGAAAAGACAAAAAUAUAUGUAUAUAGAUAUUUAUGUUAUUAAAUGAGCUACUACUGAAUAUAUACUGUCAAUCAAAACAAUGAAGUUACGAAUUAUAAUGAAACGUAUAUGUGAAAGCUCAGAUUUAUAAAUUAAAAAAAAACCAACUGAUAUAUAGUAUUUCUUUCCCCAACAAAUUUUACCUAUACAAGGAAUUUUUUGUAAUAUUAAGAAUUUUUUCGCUCUUUCAGCACACAAAAAAAAGGAAUUUUAAUUUUAAUUUUGCAGUUUUGGCCUAUUCAUUAUCUUUCAUUACAUCAUCCUCAGAUUUAAUUGGUAAUUUUUUCCUAUCAACAUUUACAAGAAUAUUACCGUCCAUUGUCCAUACUGCAUUCUUACCAAAUUUUUCUUGUGCCAGAAGCAUUAGUUCAUAUCAUAUUCUGGUCAGUUCUUCUACGUUUACAACUUUGCUUCCCUUGAGAUGCUUUUGGUGGAAAAGUUUGUCACGGUCUACGGAGCUGUUAAAGUGCACCACUACCGCCCCACUUUUUUUAGAAGAAAUUGCUAUAUUUUUAUACAUUUUUUUGAUUUGAUUAAUGAUUCUAGCCAACUUUUAAUCAGUCAUAAAAGUAAAUUAAAAAAGUUUGUAAAGUAUACAGGGUAGUCCUUUUAACUUGAGACAUCGCAAUAUCUAGAAACCUAAACAUGUAUCCAGAAAACGUUUCAUGUGAAGUUUGAAUGGUUUCCAGGGGGCCAUAAAAUGGCUAUAAAUGAUCAUUGGUUUGACCCUCCUUUUUUGCAUAGAAACCUCUAUUUUUUUUAAUAGUAUCUGAUUUAGCCUUAAAAAAUAAGUAACUUUCAUCUGACACUUUUUUACAUGCGACCUCUCCUUUUUAAGAUAUUAAUUCUUGAUUCUUUUACGAAUUGUUUCCUUGACAAUGACAUUUGCCCUUGUAGGUAUUAUCUGAUGAUCUAUCAAACGGAGUCAAAGUAUCUUAUGAUAGAAUUUUAUUAUCAACAGAGUCGAAAACUUGAAAAUAAAAUGUACAAAGUUCAAAUAAAAGAAAUUGAAACAAAAAAGUCAGAAAAUUAUUUCAAUAAAUGUUCAAAGUGUCCCUUCUACUUCUAUACAUUUUUCGACUAGCUUUCUUCGACGAUCGAUCAACAGAGUGCAGCAUCUGUGAAGUUAUCUGCCUGCAAACCUCCGUGAUCCACAGCUUCAUACUUUCGGGAGUCGUUGGUGGAUCGCGAUAUACGAUCUCCUUCAAAUAACCCCAGCGAAAAAAAUCUAAGAGCGUCAAAUCAGGUGACCGUGGCGGCUAUUGGACUGCUCCACCGCGACCUAUCCAACGUCCAUUGAAGUCACGAUCCAACACUUGGCGUGCAACGCGUGAAUAAUGUGCAGGACAACCAUCAUGCUGGUACCAUAUAUUUAGUCUCACUUCAAAACACACGUCUUCGGCCUGUAAGGACACCAUCAAUAAAAUAAGGUCCUAUGACUUUAACAUUGAUGAUGCCACACCAGACAUUCACAGACAAUGGCCGCUGAUGUUCUAUCGCUCUAAAUCACGUGGGAUUUUCUACUGCCAAAUAAUGCAUGUUAUGACGAUUAACUACACCAUAGUUUGUAAAUGAAGCUUCAUCGGUGAAUAAGACGCGCACAAAGAAAUUGUUAUUUUCAUGAAACUGAUCAUUGGAAAUCAUUCCCGUGAAGCUCUUGAUGUAACGACAAGUGAUACGGAUGAAACUUGUGGCGUUUCAAAAUUCUCAGGACAUUUGUUUUGGAGAUUCCAGAAGCAGAAGAAAUUGAUCGUGAGCUGACUCCAGGAUUAUGGGCAACUUCAGAUAAGACGGCAAUUUCAUUAUUUUAACUGGUAAUGCUUCUCUUUUGUGAUCGAUUUAUCGUUCUCACACUUCCAUCUUCUAUAAAGUAGUUCACUACACGAUAAAAUGAUGCUCGCGAUUGAAGUCGCUGUUGAGGAUAUCGCAUGACAAAAAAUUCGUAAAAGAAUCAAGAAUUAAUAUCUUGAAAAGGAGAGGUCGCAUGUAAAAACGUGGCAGAUGCAAGUUACUUAUUUUUUAACGCUAAAUCAGAUACUAUUAAAAAAAUAGAGAUUUCUAUGCAAAAAAGGGAAGUUGACCUUCAUUUGACCUUGAAGACGUCCACUCAAGGUUUCCAUUCAAACUUUACAUGAAACAUUUUCUGGACACAUGUUUAGUUUUCGAGAUAUUGCGAUGUAUCAAGUUAAAUGGACCACCCUGUAUAUAUAGGAGAUUUUUGGUGACGAUAGUACAUAUUAUUAUAGAUACAGUAUCUAGCCCUGUGCCAGUUUUUACAUAGAUACACUUUCCAUUUUUAUUUACAAUCCAUUUUUUUCUAUAUGAUUAUUAUGUUAUGGUAAUGUUGCAAUGAAAUUUAAAAGUAGUGUAUUUGAAUAUUUACAGUUUUUACAUAGAUCCAACUAGGAUCUUUUAAUCUUUAAAUGGUAGUAAUCCAUAUUUGGUGUUGUAGAGCCUCGAAAAUGUUUGAAAAAAUGUACAGAUAAUGGGCAUAAGAUAAGACUCUUAAAAGUGAUUAUUAAUAAACGAUUUGCUGUUUAUGGGAUCAAAUAAGUAUGUCACUCUUGUGAAGUCAAAUACUUACAUACAGAGAAUCCCAAAUUCUAGAAUCAAACUUUAGGGGGAUGUCAUUCUUAAAAAAAAAGUUCAUAAAACAUGCAUUUCAGAAACGCGUGACUGAUGAUAAAGGGUUUUAAGAUUUUACAUUAUUCUAAUAAAUUAGAUUAGAGAAAAAUUUACUUUUAACAUAAUAUAUACUAAAUUGCUUCAGAGAUUUCCAAAAUACACGGUGAAGUUAGCAGAAUGUAAAACUGUAAUACCCUGUAUCAUCAAAACGAUUCAUUUAUUGACUCCACGUUUGGCCGGUAUUAGACUGUAAAAGAUAUUUGACAUUUUUUUGUAAAAUAUUUAAAAACUAUGCUAAAAAAUAUGAUAUGCGCUCAAUUAUUUUGAAAUUUUUUAGGCUAUUCUUAAAUUAGUAUUUUUUUUUCUUAUUGUUGUUAAUUAUUAAAAUAAUAAAGGAAUAAGCGAAAAAUAAUUUUUGGUUUGAUAUAUAGUAAUUUCUAUAAUUUUUUAAUUAAUUUUUUUAGAUUGAAAGAACCCAAUUGUCAAAGCAGCUCAGGAAAUAUAUUCCUAUAAAUAGCGGUAGAACAUACACUUAAAAUUGUUGAAGGAUGGGAGAACAUCGUUUUAUUAAGCAGAAAACAAAGCACGCAACAUGAACAAAAGUUUGUCGUAUAUAUUUCAUUUUUUGAAUAAAACAUAUUUUUUAAGUCUUCAUAGCUAUGCAUUGUAGCAUGCUUCGGGCUGUGCAUAAAUAGUACUAUUAUGCACAGUAUGCAAUAUAGGAAAUGUUAAGUUUUUAGCGAAUAGUAAAUUUUUAAACGUUUUUAAUAGGUAAGUUUUCAACUAAAUCUAUGCUGGUGUGUACCAAAACUUACCUUACCAAUUUGUUUAUAAAAUAAGGGUUAAUAACCUCGCUAGUUUUUAAUUUUGUAUUGGAGAAAUUAAACAGGUUGGUUUAAAACAA